rnacentral:rRNA from 1 species
CCUACGGGAGGCUGCAGUGAGGAAUAUUGGUCAAUGGGCGCGAGCCUGAACCAGCCAAGUCGCGUGAGGGAAGACGGUCCUAUGGAUUGUAAACCUCUUUUGUCGGGGAGCAAAAGACGCCACGCGUGGCGUUCCGAGAGUACCCGAAGAACAAGCAUCGCCUAACUCCGUGCCAGCCGCCGCGGUAAUACGGUGGAUGCGAGCGUUAUCCGGAUUUAUUGGGUUUAAGGGGUGCGCAGGCGGAAGAUCAAGUCAGCGGGAAAAUUGAGAGGCUCAACCUCUUCGAGCCGUUGAAACUGGUUUGCUUGAGUGAGCGAGAAGUAUGCGGAAUGCGUGGUGUAGCGGUGAAAUGCAUAGAUAUCACGCAGAACUCCGAUUGCGAAGGCAGCAUACCGGAGCUCAACUGACGCUCAUGCACGAAAGUGUGGGUAUCGAACAGGAUUAGAUACCCUUGUAGUC